GUGAGGAAUAUUGGACAAUGGAUGGAAAUCUGAUCCAGCCAUGCCGCGUGCAGGAAGACGGCCCUAUGGGUUGUAAACUGCUUUUAUACGGGAGCAAUAAGGUCUAUGCAUAGAUUGAUGAGAGUACCGUAUGAAUAAGCAUCGGCUAACUCCGUGCCAGCAGCCGCGGUAAUACGGAGGAUGCGAGCGUUAUCCGGAUUUAUUGGGUUUAAAGGGUGCGUAGGCGGCUUUGUAAGUCAGCGAUGAAAUUUUGCAGCUUAACUGUAAAAGCGCCGUUGAUACUGUGAAGCUAGGAUUUGGUUGCUGUGGGCGGAAUGUGUGGUGUAGCGGUGAAAUGCAUAGAGAUCACACAGAAUAUCGAUUGCGAAGGCAGCUCACAAAGCCAAUAUUGACGCUGAGGCACGAAAGUGUGGGGAUCAAACAGGAUUAGAUACCCGGGUAGUCC
rnacentral:rRNA from 1 species